AUUGAACGCUGGCGGCGUGCCUAAUACAUGCAAGUCGAACGCAGUGGGGACUGGUGAGUAACACGUGGGUAACCUCCCAUCAGAGGGGAUAACACUUGGAAACAGGUGCUAAACCGAUACUGAUGGAUGGACCCGCGGUUCAUUAGCUAGUUGGUGAGGUGACGGCUAACCAAGGCCACGAUGCAUAGCCGACCUGGGAGGGUGAUCGGCCACACUGGGACUGAGACACGGCCCAGACUCCUACGGGAGGCAGCAGUAGGGAAUCUUCGGCAAUGGACGAAAGUCUGACCGAGCAACGCCGCGUGAGUGAAGAAGGUUUUCGGAUCGUAAAACUCUGUUAUUAGGGAAGCGGUACCUAAUCAGAAAGCCACGGCUAACUACGUGCCAGCAGCCGCGGUAAUAC
rnacentral:rRNA from 1 species